GCAGGACUGGAGCUGGCGGUGGCUGGUGUGUGAUGUCCUGGACCCCCUGCAACAAAACUGGUCCCAUGCACUCUUAUCAUGACAGUAUUCUAGAGCCUCACAUACCGUGAUGGAUUUAUCAACCAGACACAUCCAGAAGGGAGGAACAGAUGAUUCGAUCCCCAUUUCACAGGAAUCUGGGAGCUCAAACUUGCACCCAGCUGUUGCAAGUGCCUUCACCAGGCUUGGGGGAGUCCCAGCCAGGAGAAACAUUGUGAGACUACAGUAUACAAAACGGGCGAUGUGUCUAUGGUGGUCAUAAAGGGCUGUCUCGGGGCUCAGGAUAUUCUACAGGAGGACAUAAACUAUCUGUUCUAGGAAGCAACCUCUACCCGAGCUCCCAGUUCAUGUCUAAUACAAAAGCAACCAAUAAAAACCAUUUUGUAACAUUUGUCACUAACACCCUUGAAGAACUACAUGAAUAUCAAUUAAU